rnacentral:lncRNA from 1 species
UGAAACUAAACUUAGGAGGAAAUGCCUCUCCUAUGGGUGAAACUAAACUUAGGAGAAAAUGCCUCUCCUAUGGGUGAAACUAAACUUAAGAGGAAAUGCAUCUCCUAUGGGUAAAGCAAACCUAGGAGGAAAUGCGUCUCCUAGGGGUAAAACUAAACUUAGGAGGAAAUGCAUCUCCUAUGGGUGAAACUAAAACAAACUUAGGAGGAAAUGCAUCUCCUACGGGUCAAAGUAAACUUAGGAGGAAAUGCGUUUCCUAUGCGUGAACCAUUUCCUUCUUCCUGAAUUAUUUACUUACAUGUGUUGUCUUCCCUCGAAACUGCUGGGGAUUAUUUUGAUGGGGAUGACAUUUCCUUUUCUUCCUUACCCACUCUAGGUUGCCCGAAACUCUGUCGAUGAUGCUUCUACAUCUCGAUGAUCCACUGGGGAUAACACUGCUGUGGAUAACUCUGCUGAGUAAAUAUGUUAUCUUACUCCUUCCAAAAUUACUUCCUUUUGAGUAGGAUGUUUCAUUCCUCUCCAAGCUACUUCCCCCU